rnacentral:rRNA from 1 species
UCGGCAAUGGGCGAAAGCCUGACCGGGCGACGCCGCGUGUGCGAUGAAGGCCCUUCGGGUUGUAAAGCACUGUCGAGAGGAAACAAGCCGCAAGGUUGAGUGACCUCUGGAGGAAGCACGGGCUAAGUUCGUGCCAGCAGCCGCGGUAAGACGAACCGUGCGAACGUUGUUCGGAAUCACUGGGCUUAAAGGGUGCGUAGGCGGAAUGGCAAGUCGGAGGUGAAAGCCCCCAGCUUAACUGGGGAAGUGCCCUCGAUACUGCUGUUCUCGAGAGAGGUAGGGGCGUGUGGAACUUCCGGUGGAGCGGUGAAAUGCGUAGAUAUCGGAAGGAACGCCGGUGGCGAAAGCGGCUUACUGGGUCUCUUCUGACGCUGAGGCACGAAAGCUAAGGUAGCAAACGGGAUUAGAUACCCCGGUAGUCUUAGCUGUAAACGAUGAGCACUUGUUUGAAGGGUCCUCCAUAGCCUUUCAGACGUAGCGAAAGUGUUAAGUGCUCCGCCUGGGGAGUAUGGUCGCAAGGCUGAAACUCAAAGA